AGGGCUGCCCCUGCAGCUCCCAUUGGCUGGGAACCGCAGCCAAUGGGCUGCGCCGGUGGAUGGGGCAGUGUGCAGAGCCACCUGGUCGUGCCUCUGUACAGGAGCUGGAGAAGGAAUAGGCUGCUAUUUCCGGGAGCUGAUUGAGAAUCAACCCAUAUCCCACUGAAGUGAAUGGAAUGACUCUCAUUGAUUUAAUGGAAGAUGAAAGUGUGUGCUCAGAGCUACAGUACACAAACUUUAUGGCAGCUAAAGGAUACUGGAUCAACAGGGGGUUUAAAAAAGAACAUCUGAACUAUAUUGUGCAGAUUUUAAGUACAAAUAUCCAGGUACCAUCAUUUCAGCAAAAUUUCUGAGUUUGUGUAAUACAUAGCAGGAUCAAUAAAAUAAGUAUUCACCUGGUAAAACAAAAUGUAGUGCAAACAUAGUAAAACUAUGAGUCUGAUAUGUACACCAUGGGAUGCUUCACACUCAGAGUAAUCUACACAAAGUAUAUUUUAUUAAAAUACUCUUCCAGGACAGACUAUGGUCAGACAGUGGUUGACUGGACUUUUCAAGGACUUCUCAAUUGUUGGCAUACAAAAAGCCUGGUUGUUACCCAGCUAAUUUGAGAUGUCAUCACCAGUUGACAUUCCACUACUACAUGAUUUUAUCCCUACUGGAAAAUAAGUGAGCUCCACUUUUGUUUUGAGGACCUUAAUGUUAUUCUGACUCAGUACAAGUGGAAUUUAUUGAAGACUGAUUCAAGUACUCAAGCUUCCUGAGAAACUAACCCAGGAGAUAAGCUCUGAUCUAGCUAAUAUCUCAGUGGGCACUGGCAGUUAAAUAGAAGUUUUAGAUGCAGGCAUUGUUGCUUUUAACUCAAAAAUAUUAGAGGCAAAUAGGUCAACCAUGUUUAGUCUGAGCAAAAUAGAUUUAUCCUUUCAGUUCUGAUUCAACCCUUGCUGAUGUCAAAAUUACCAUCUCAAAACUGGCUAAAAACAUGUAGUGCCAAAUUAGGAGAGAGUGAUAUAAAACCAACAGAAAGCUGUUAUCUAGCCCUCAGGAAAGAAAGUUCCCUAGAAAGAAAGUUACAAAUGUGGAACCACUGGGAAAAGGUUUGAAUGGACUCAGUGUUCCAUAAUUGCAAGUGUUGAGAAUGAGCUGUCACGGGAUCUGGCAGCUGACCCUGUCAUGUUAGGGAAACCCUGCAGAAUGCUAGAGACAAAAUGCCAGGAGAUUUCCAUAUCUGUUUUUCCUUGUGUUGUAUUAGGCGGUAUUUGCUGCAGUGCUCCCUCCAAGAGCUUUACAACAGUGCUGAAUAAAUGUAUUUUGAUCACA